rnacentral:rRNA from 1 species
AGGCGGUCUGUUAAGUCAGAUGUGAAAUCCCCGGGCUUAACCUGGGAACUGCAUUUGAAACUGGCAGGCUUGAGUCUUGUAGAGGGGGGUAGAAUUCCAGGUGUAGCGGUGAAAUGCGUAGAGAUCUGGAGGAAUACCGGUGGCGAAGGCGGCCCCCUGGACAAAGACUGACGCUCAGGUGCGAAAGCGUGGGGAGCAAACAGGAUUAGAUACCCUGGUAGUCCACGCCGUAAACGAUGU